UACUCCUACGGGAGGCAGCAGUAGGGAAUCUUCCGCAAUGGACGAAAGUCUGACGGAGCAACGCCGCGUGAGUGAUGAAGGUUUUCGGAUCGUAAAGCUCUGUUGUUAGGGAAGAACAAGUGCAAGAGUAACUGCUUGCACCUUGACGGUACCUAACCAGAAAGCCACGGCUAACUACGUGCCAGCAGCCGCGGUAAUACGUAGGUGGCAAGCGUUGUCCGGAAUUAUUGGGCGUAAAGGGCUCGCAGGCGGUUUCUUAAGUCUGAUGUGAAAGCCCCCGGCUCAACCGGGGAGGGUCAUUGGAAACUGGGAAACUUGAGUGCAGAAGAGGAGAGUGGAAUUCCACGUGUAGCGGUGAAAUGCGUAGAGAUGUGGAGGAACACCAGUGGCGAAGGCGACUCUCUGGUCUGUAACUGACGCUGAGGAGCGAAAGCGUGGGGAGCGAACAGGAUAGAUACCUGGUAGUCCA
rnacentral:rRNA from 1 species